AGCGAACGCUGGCGGCAGGCUUAACACAUGCCAGUCGAACGGGCAUCUUCGGAUGUCAGUGGCAGCCGGGUGAGUAACACGUUGGAACGUACCCUUCUGUUCGGACUAACUCAGUGAAACUUGAUCUAAUACCUGAUACUCCCUCUUGGGGAAAGGUUUACUGCCGAAGUAUCGGCCCGCGUCUGAUUGGCGUGUUGGUUGGGUAACGGCCUGCCAAGGCGACGAUCAGUAGCUGGUCUGAGAGGAUGAUCAGCCACACUGGGAAUGAGACACGGCCCCGAAUGGGACGGGAGGGAGGAGUGGGGAAUAGUGGACAAGGAGCGCAAGUCUGAUAAAGCCAUGCCGGGUGAGUGACGAAGGCGGUAGGGAUGUAAAGCUGUUUUGUCCGGGACGAUAAUGACGGUACCGGAAGAAGAAGCACCGGCUAACUUCGUG
rnacentral:rRNA from 1 species